UCUGGGCCCACAAGGGAGGUUGCCAGGGGACUGAUGGUCCCCUAAAUAGUGCCUAUGAGACCCCUUUGCCCCCUGGGAAAGAUGGGAAGGCACAGGUGCUGUCUCUUUUCUGAAAUUUCACAACUCUUCCAGGCUCAAAGCUCAAAAGGCCACAUUCCUACACGAAUUAUGAAAUACAACUCUCCUCACCAGAGUGGAUGUCUUUCCGGGAUCACUGGGUCUCAGUCUUACUGCCAGCUAGGAUCACCUGCCCCUCUGCAAACACAGCCCAGACAGGUCACAGGACAAAGGGCAGGGUCCAAGAGGAGACCCACACCCCUGUGCUGGCCCUGACUCUGGAAAACAAAAAGCCCAGGAAGUUUCUUGUGUGAAAAAUCACCCACACUCAACUUGUGAACAGGCAGGAGCAAGGACAGGCUGGGCAGUGUCCUGCGUAAAAGCACUCAGAGCCCUGGCUCUGGCUCUGGUUUGGUUGGUGGACUUCCUCCUCCCAGGAUCCCCAGCUCUGGAUGCCAAACUGCAGGAGGAAACACAAGUUCUUCUGGAACUGACAGCCAGGUCGAGCAGGGGAAUAAGCACACCUACUCACCCAGGCACAGCCCUCUACAGCUUACAAAGCCAUUCCCAGACAUGAUGUCACUGAAUUCUCCCUAUCAGGUUCUGCACCAGCCCCUACAAAUGAGCAAAGCAUAGGUGGGCUCUCUUUUUUUUUUUUCUUUUUGGUACCUGGGAUUGAACCCAGGGGUGCUUAACUGCUGAGCCACAUCCCCAAGCCCCCCUUUAUUAAAUAUUUUAUUUAGAGACAGGGUCUUGCUAAGUUGCUCAGCGCCUUUCCAAGUUGUUGAGGCUGG
rnacentral:lncRNA from 1 species